AGCCCCAAAAGGUUCAUAAUUAAAUAAAUAAAAACAACAUUUUGAAAUAAAUACUAUUACGAUAAAUAACAGACAAAUAUAUAAUAUGGCCAUUAAAUUGUGAAAUAAGGCAAUGUUAUUAUGAAAUAUGUUUUAUUAUUCUUUAAUAUUGAAUUAUUAUGAUUAAAUAUUUCAUAAUGAUUAUUUUAACAAUUUCAUACUUUUUAAAAUAAUUACGUUUUAUUCAUUUUCCAAGCUUUUAUUUAAAAAAAAACGUUUUUUACAAAGUCCAUUUUUAUUUCAUAAUGUCCUUUUCCACAAUGGCCUUUUUAUUUCAUAAUGUCGUUUUUCAUCAGAAUGACUUGGUCUGUCAAUCAAAGCUAGAGGGUGGGACCUCUGCUUGAUCCUUUAAGAUCGAUUAGUUUUCCUAGACACCGGUCAUAGCCGUUCUUUAGGCGGCUAACGUAAACAUGCAGGAAGAGCAAUCAGAAGAAGAGAUGACAGACUUCAGCGGUGUAUCUGCAGCUCUGCUGGCUCUAGCAGAUCAAAUCGAGCGUGAGAACUUGUCAGGAGAUGCUGUUUUGACUCGUCUGGAUGAUAUUUUUGAAAUACUUGGGAUGGUAGUCGGUGUUCUGGAUGCUAAAAUCGAUGACAACAUUUUCGAAAGUUUGAGAGCGAUUGAGCACCGGGUGCAUAUGGAAUAUGUACAUGAGGAACUGUCUUUACGUGCUGGUCGUCCACGUCUUGAAACUCCGCGUGAGGCACUCAGGACUUUAGUGCUCUCAGGUAUAACCAUCCGGACUAUUGCCAAGAUGUUUGGUGUGUCACCCAGCACUGUUUGGAGGAGAAUGGUGGAAGAAGGUUUACGGUAAGUUACUUUUAAUAUUUAAUGGAAAUGAAAUGAGAUUUUGCUCAAAGCUUUAUUUUCACAGCAGUCUGUGUGGUUGUAGCUGCUAGUAUAAGAAGUAAUAAGAAAAAAAACUUAACGGCAGUUGCUGUAAGUGUUUUCUCAGAUGGCACGCCUAAAGAUGCCUUCACACGCACAAAGCUCAUUUAAACUCAAACUCUGGGUAAAAUGAGAGCUGUGAGAAUUCUUUAGAUAAAUAAAUUGUGCAUACUCAAAGUGCCCCAAAAUUAUCAUCUUAUAUAUUGCAUCAGUAUUGUAUGGUUGGCUGUCUGCUAAGUGUGUUACCAUUUAUAAAUCGCGUCAUCACCACAACAGUCAUGGCAAACAGGCAAUUCAGGUCACUACUAGCUGAAAAAAAACACUUUCAUUAGGCUCUUUCAGAAUAUUGUGUUAGACAGUUUGUACUAAAGUUGCAACAUUAUAAUGUGUUUUCCUUUGCAGGAAAUCUGAUAGUUAUUCUUCUGUUGGAGAUGAAGAACUUGAUGCCAUAGUGCUGGAUAUUCAGCAUUGUCACCCAAAUGCUGGCUGCAGAAUGAUGUUGGGACAUCUGAAGGCCAGAAGAUUACACAUUCAAAGAUCUCGACUGGUAGAUUCCAUGAGAUGUGUCAAUCCAGAAGGGGUCAUGAUGCGACAGUUAUCGCUUCAGACUGCAAGGCGCCGUCAAUACAAUGUGCCAGCACCAAAUUUCCUCUGGCAUAUAGAUGGAAAUCACAAGCUGAUUCGAUGGAGAUUCGUUGUCCACGGAGGUAUAGAUGGUUUUUCCAGGUUGAUUGUCUACCUCAAUGCUGCCACUAAUAACAAAGCCACAACUGUGUUUGAUGGGUUCUGGUCAGCUGUCAGACAGUAUGGCAUACCAUCACGAGUUAGGUCAGACAAAGGAGGUGAAAAUGUAAAGGUGGCUCAUUUCAUGGUCCAGGUGAUGGGGGAGAACAGGAACUCCCACAUUACAGGCAGAAGUGUGCACAACCAGAGAAUCGAACGCCUGUGGAGGGAUGUGUAUGAAAACGUUCUUGACCUUUUCUACACGAUGUUCACUCAGCUGGAGAUUCAAGGACUACUCAAUCCUGCUGAAGAAAUUCACCUGUUUGCACUACACAGAUGCUUUUUGCAUCACAUUCAGGAUCAUCUUCAGGCAUUCAAAGGAGCUUGGAAUCUGCACGGACUCAGAACGGAAAACAACUCUUCACCCCUUCAACUCUGGUCACUCUACAGAAAGGAUGGCCAUGACUUUUCACAGGUUCAUGACGACUAUGGUGUGGACUGGAUGGGACCACACAGUCCCCGUCCAUUAACUGAGGUUACCAUUCCAGUGAUACAGCUCCCUAGGGUGACCACCCGUACAGCGUUUUAGGCUCAAUUCACGCGUCCCGCAAUUUGAAGCUUUGUCCCGCAAAAUCAACAUGCCAAAAAAAAGUCCUCACAAUCCCAGAGUGAGCGAGCCCCCAGGCAGCCAAAAGAACAACUGGAUAGGACACUGUUGCUCUGAGUGGGUGGGGUCAGAGGUGGCCGUUGUCAUGACACCUGCCCGCAGUGACCGCACGCAGCACUAUGCGCAGCGACAACGCCACGGACAAGACACCUGCAGCCGCCAAAUGAAAAAUGGAGAAAGACGCUGAGAGUGAGGGACCGCCACCGAGUAAAAAAAGAAGGUGUGUAUGUAGGAAAGAGUGGGAAAGUGAAUAUUUGUGGGUGACAGGGGUUAAGGGUGAUAGUGAGGGCUUUUUGUGAGCUUUGCCGGACGUCAUUUUCAGUUGGAUAUGGAGGGGAAUAUGAUGUCAAAUGACACAGGCUCACGGAGAUGACAGAUGUUCGGUGGACCUGAAUAAGUCUGAAAUCCAUGUGAAGAGCAACUUCUCAUUGAGCUGCAAGGUCUUCUACACUUAUGUAGUGAAAGAAAAGGCCCUCCUCAAUGCUGCACGCUCAAACAAAAAAUACCAGUUCAAGAAAAAUAUA